CAAAGUCAUAGUCCUGUCGUGCUGGCACGGACAGGAGUAUGACCUUGGCGAGCGCCAAAACAUGAGCAAGAAGGGCGAAAGCCCGGAAUGCGAAUGUUUUGAAGCAUGGUGAAAGGGCGAAAGCCCGGAGCCAUGCGC
rnacentral:sRNA from 1 species